UCCUCAUCAUACCUCGCCUUGAACUUGGCGAGGCUCUCAUGGCCCUCCUUCUUGGCUCUCGCCAGUUCGGAGACUAAAGAGGCAUUCUCUACCUCCACCUGAGCCAGUUUAGCUUGCAGCUCGGCCAUGUCUGCUUCCGCCUUGCUAAACCGCUCCACAGAACUAGCGACCUCCUCGUCGCGCUCUGCUGUCCGCUUUUUCUCAGCCUCCA
rnacentral:lncRNA from 1 species